CCGCACAUCUUUCACCUUGCUCACAUGAUUUCCCAACAAACUUUACAAAAUAACUUCACUACCUCACAUGAGUUUCACUCAUCUCGCACACUCUUUUAAACCUACUUCAUUCACCUAUAAAUCCUAACAUAAUACAUUGAGAUAGGAAGCUACCAAAAAUUCGUCUGAGCAAAAUCUGCAACUUCCCUGUAACCUCCACAAUUUUCAACAAAAUCUCUUAUUACAUAGCCUGUCAGAGCCUCGCAUCGAAUAUCUGAGCAAGUUUGAGCUAAGCCUUCACUAACCUCAUCAACAACACCUUUAAGCAUAAUAACAAUCACACAUAGAAUUUCAGAAAGAAGAGAGUAGAAGAAGAAGUGAGAAGAAGGAAAAGAGGAGGGAAGAGAAUGUCUUACCUAAAGUUUUCUCCAUCGUGCCAGAGUUUGAAGACCUUUGUUAGAGUUUCAUUUGGUAGUUUUAAGGUUCUUUUGUUGUUGAUAUACUCGAUUUAUUCCUUUCCCCUUUGAUCACGCUGUACUUGCGUGUAAUCAGACGAUUUAAUGAAAAAUGGGGGUCACGGUUUCUG
rnacentral:lncRNA from 1 species